rnacentral:lncRNA from 1 species
AAUAAAAUCAUUUUUAAAAAAGUGAAGGGGCUUCAAUAUAAAAGAAAACAAUGAACUUAUUUUUUGUAGCUCUGGAGGGAAGAACUCUGACCAGUUGGGAGACAGUUUUAGCUCAAAAUAAGGAAAGUAAGGAAAAACCUUGCAGGCCAUCAGCCUGAGGCUGGGAUGGGGAAUGCAAUGUCUGCUUCUGGGAGGAGUGUGGACUAGAUGCCUCUUGCGGCUCUGAGAUACCACAGGUCUUUAAGGAGACGGGUUAAAUGCUGUCACAUUGCCUGGAUUAACUCGAAUCCCACCCUGCCACUGAACAGGGCUGUGUAAUGUGAGGCUGGUCAUCUAAAUGCUUAUGUGCCUCAGUUUCUUCAUUUACACAAUAGGGAUAAUGAUGACACCUCCCUCAUCGAGUUCUUGUAGAAAUACAUGAUAUGGCACAUGUGAAACACUCAGCACAGGUCCUCUUCAAAAGUGUUUGUUAGUAUUUCUUUAGCAGUUUUGCAUGAUGGAUCGACAGUUAAGAUUAAAAAGAGAAUCACAGGAAACAUUUCUACUAUUGGAGGGAUGAUUUUAUUUUUACACCCUGAAAUAUUUAUGGAAACCACUAAAUAUGGGCUUUUGAGGAUUAAUGGAUUUAGUAGACCAGUAGAAUUGCGUGUAUGCCGGAUGGCUUUGCUUACAAAUGGGAAUUUUUGGAAGUUUGUUUUCCGGAUGCUUCCUCAAUGCUGCCCCAUAGUGGCCGGUCAUAGGCCCGGCUACUUAGACCGGCUACUCUGGCCUUUUUUACCGGAGCUCACCUGGCUGGGUGGUGUGUGUGAGUCAGGCAGGCUGGGGUGGUGGGCUGUGGGUGGGCCCAGGGGUGAGCAAGUCGGUCCACACCUUACAAAGGAAGGGCUUGUUUGUAUGCCCACCAGUGACUCAGCCAAGAGGAAACCAAAUGGGGAAAGGGGGUGGGGCGGCGAGCAGCAGCAUUUCUGAGCCUGAUGUGCCAAUGGCUUUGAGCAAAGUGCCCACUUCCCUCAGCCCGUCCCUCUAAACCAGGAGCCCACAGACCAAGUGCUUCCCACUUCUGGAAUCUUCCCUAACUGCUCCUGGGGCAGCUCCGCACCAACUCCCCAGCUGCCCUUUUGAAGAUGCUGUUUGCUUUCCCUGCUUCAAGUUUUAUCAUUCUCGCCAGGAAAAUAUUUGUCUUCCCAUUACUUGAAUUAUGCCUCUCGGGUCCAGUGGGGAGGCCUUGGAGGAGGAUUCAUCCUGUUUUUUUGUUUGCUGAAUUGGGAGAACAAAUAGCCUUGUUUGACUUACCUGCAUUUUCCCAGUAGGUGGACCCCUCGGAGCAAACACGGGGUAGACCUGCCUUCUGCCCCUUGGACCUGAUGUUGACCGAGGAGCAGUCUAGGCCGGAGUGGGCCAGGCCAGCCUCUCUGCUUGCCUUCCCUCACAGCCUGUGCUCCUCUUCAUCGGACGAGGUGCCGGAGCUGGGCCUGGCACCGUCUGGAGUCCAGGAAACAUUCUCUCCCCCUCAAAUAGCAGCCCAGCCCUGUAAUGCUUUCAUGAAUUUGAUCGCAGAGGGAGACUUUGAAAUGGAAGUUUCCUGGAGAUGAUGGGUAAGGGUGAGUCGUGAGGGGCUGGGACCCCGGGAUGAAAUUUGAAUUUGUCGUCUGCAAGGGGCCUGGCAGUUUAGGAGCCAGACCGAGCUGCUUCCCCAUCUUUGAUGGGCACCUCCUGCUGUCUGUGGUACCAAGGGUUGAGCUGGUGCUUCAUUCUGCAAACGUGUAGUGAGCGCCUCCUCCAGCACUGUUUCAGGUAUUGGGGAUGCAUCAGGGAACAAAGGAGGUCAUAAGUCCCUGCCCUUUGGAAGUUACAUUUCAGUGGAAAACAGACAAACCUAAUACACAGAAAAACUGUAGCCAGCUAGAAAGGGGAUGGAAAAAAAUAUUGCAGGAAAGGGUGAUGGUCUCAUGCGUAGGGGUGCAGUAUAGAUGGGUGGUCAGGGUAGGCUUGUGGAGAAGGUGCUGUCUGAGCAGACUUCAAGGAAAGGAGGAGCUUCAUUCCAGGCACCACUGAUUCCAAAGUCCGACUGAAGCCUACACUCCCUCUUUCUCAGCUGAAUGAGACCAGAGAGCUGAGCAGGUAAUAGUCUCCUACCCUCUUCCUUUUACAGUCUCUUGGGCAUUCAUCUACUCAGGGUUGGGGUGGGGGCAGACACACGAGAGUGAGGCUGCUGGUAGGGCAGCCUUUUCAGAGUAGGGCAUAGGCACCAAGGCCCCCAAGACGACCAUGACCCAUCUUGAGAAUAGAGUUGACUCUGGUUGGGGAGCGCAGUUAGACUAGGUCGGAAGAGUCCAGCCAGAGACGCUAAGCUCAUGCCACGAGGUCCACUGCACUCCCUAAAUUUGCCCAGAGGACAAAUGAAUGAAACCAGCAUUUCCUGAGGGCCUAUUAGGAGCUGGAGCUUCAAGAUGCCCCCCAUCCAUGUCAUUCUUAGAACUGCCCUCUGAAGUUAGGCAGUAUUAGCUCCAUUUUACAGCUGGGGACACGAGCUCAAAGGUCGAAAAGCUUAUGUGUCGCCGACCAGCUGGGAUAUAGAUCUGGAUCUGUCGGAUUCCACAGACCAAUUUUUACAUCACAGCCAUUAUCAACUCCCUCAUCUUAACAGCCAACAACACCACUGUCGCCCUCCCAAGAUCAUCUACGUUACCAACAGCAUCCACACCAGCAUCACCUUUGACAUCAUCGUCAACGCCGCCAGGGUCACCGUCAGCCGCGUCCCCAACAUCCUUCAUAACCCCAUGAUCACAGGCAGUAGGAUAACAGUCUGGCAGGUAAUUAGGCUUCAGGUGAGUCAGAUUCUCUCUCAGCUUCAGCUUCCUUAUCUACAAAAGAGAAACAUCUAUCUCAGAAGGUGGGUGAGAUGCCGAAACCACUCACCGAAACUAGUCUUGUCCAGAUCAUUGAUGACCUCCGUGAUUGUCAUUUUGAUACUCGCUCCCCCCACCCCCUCCCCCGCCCAAGAGCAUCUGAGGCAUCUGCCCACUUCCUCUGCCUUUCUUCCCCCCCCCCCCCCC